rnacentral:rRNA from 1 species
AUACGAAGGGCCCAAGCGUUAAUCGGAAUCACUGGGCUUAAAGGGUGCGUAGGCGGGCUCGCAAGUGUCUUGUGAAAUCCCACGGCUCAACCGUGGAACUGCUUGGCAUACUGCGAGCCUCGAGAUCGGCAGAGGUCGCCGGAACUCUAGGUGUAGCGGUGAAAUGCGUAGAUAUCUAGAGGAACGCCAAAGGCGAAGGCAGGUGGCUGGGCCGAUUCUGACGCUGAGGCACGAAAGCGUGGGUAGCGAACGGGAUUAGAUACCCCAGUAGUCC